UGUCCUUCAUUGUCAAUUCCAGUGCUGACACGUAAGGACUCAACGAUGAGGUGGAUCGCUUUGACUUUCUUGUUGUUGUCAUCCUUGAUGGUGGCGACAGAAGCGCGGCUCCCAGCCAAAAUACCGCCUACAUUUCCUACACGCGGGCCUACAAUCAAACCGAUCCCAUGCAACUUCCCGUUCCCACCGUGUCCUCAUCCUCUUGCAACCAUCGAGAAGAUCAAUUAGCGCGUGUAAGGAGGACUCCGGAAGGCCCUGCAAGUCUCCAUGAUGGUUUUACUUGUCGCACAUGUCCUUGGACUCUCUUAAGUGAUUUUCUUCAAGGUUUUUUUUAUUGUCUACGUACAUUAGUAGCUUUUCCUUCUGUCAAUAAAAGU